rnacentral:rRNA from 1 species
UACGGAGGAUCCAAGCGUUAUCCGGAAUCAUUGGGUUUAAAGGGUCCGUAGGCGGUUUAGUAAGUCAGUGGUGAAAGCCCAUCGCUCAACGGUGGAACGGCCAUUGAUACUGCUGAACUUGAAUUAUUAGGAAGUAACUAGAAUAUGUAGUGUAGCGGUGAAAUGCUUAGAGAUUACAUGAAUACCAAUUGCGAAAGGCAGGUUACUACUAAAUGGAUUGACUGAUGGACG